rnacentral:rRNA from 1 species
AGCAGCCGCGGUAAUUCCAGCUCCAAUAGCGUAUAUUAAAGUUGUUGCAGUUAAAAAGCUCGUAGUUGAAUUUCGGGAUUAAUAUGCUGGUCGUGCCAUUGGUACGUACUAGUAUUAUUGAUUUCUCCCUUCUGAUGAAUCAUGAUGUCAUUAAUUUGAUGUCAUGGGGAAUCAGGACUGUUACUUUGAAAAAUUAGAGUGUUUAAAGCAGGCUCGCGCUUGAAUACAUUAGCAUGGAAUAAUGAAAUAGGACGUUUGAUUCUAUUUUGUUGGUUUCUAGGAUUGACGUAAUGAUUAAUAGGGAUAGUUGGGGGCAUUAGUAUUCAAUUGUCAGAGGUGAAAUUCUUGGAUUUAUUGAAGACUAACUACUGCGAAAGCAUUUGCCAAGGAUGUUUUCAUUAAUCAAGAACGAAGUU